rnacentral:rRNA from 1 species
UACGUAGGGCGCAAGCGUUGUCCGGAAUUAUUGGGCGUAAGGAGCUCGUAGGCGGUCUGUCGCGUCCGUUGUGAAAACUCGAGGCUCAACCUCGGGCUUGCAGUGGAUACGGGCAGACUAGAGUGCGGUAGGGGAGACUGGAAUUCCUGGUGUAGCGGUGGAAUGCGCAGAUAUCAGGAGGAACACCGAUGGCGAAGGCAGGUCUCUGGGCCGCAACUGACGCUGAGGAGCGAAAGCAUGGGGAGCGAACAGG